rnacentral:rRNA from 1 species
UGAGUAACCUGUCCUCGGCACCGGGAUAGCCCGGGGGAAACCCGGAUUAAUACCGGAUGGCCUUUCGAGUUUUCGGGCUCGUCAGAAAAGGUAGCUUCGGCCUCCGGCCGAGGAGGGACUCGCGGCGGAUUAUCUUGUUGGUGGGGUAACGGCUCACCAAGGCGACGAUCCGUAGCUGGUCUGAGAGGACGAUCAGCCACACUGGGACUGAGACACGGCCCAGACUCCUACGGGAGGCAG